rnacentral:rRNA from 1 species
GAUAAACGCUGGCGGCGUGCCUAAUACAUGCAAGUCGAGCGAACGGACGAGAAGCUUGCUUCUCUGAUGUUAGCGGCGGACGGGUGAGUAACACGUGGAUAACCUACCUAUAAGACUGGGAUAACUUCGGGAAACCGGAGCUAAUACCGGAUAAUAUUUUGAACCGCAUGGUUCAAAAGUGAAAGACGGUCUUGCUGUCACUUAUAGAUGGAUCCGCGCUGCAUUAGCUAGUUGGUAAGGUAACGGCUUACCAAGGCAACGAUGCAUAGCCGACCUGAGAGGGUGAUCGGCCACACUGGAACUGAGACACGGUCCAGACUCCUACGGGAGGCAGCAGUAGGGAAUCUUCCGCAAUGGGCGAAAGCCUGACGGAGCAACGCCGCGUGAGUGAUGAAGGUCUUCGGAUCGUAAAACUCUGUUAUUAGGGAAGAACAUAUGUGUAAGUAACUGUGCACAUCUUGACGGUACCUAAUCAGAAAGCCACGGCUAACCACGUGCCAGCAGCCGCGGUAAUACGUAGGUGGCAAGCGUUAUCCGGAAUUAUUGGGCGUAAAGCGCGCGUAGGCGGUUUUUUAAGUCUGAUGUGAAAGCCCACGGCUCAACCGUGGAGGGCCAUUGGAAACUGGAAAACUUGAGUGCAGAAGAGGAAAGUGGAAUUCCAUGUGUAGCGGUGAAAUGCGCAGAGAUAUGGAGGAACACCAGUGGCGAAGGCGACUUUCUGGUCUGUAACUGACGCUGAUGUGCGAAAGCGUGGGGAUCAAACAGGAUUAGAUACCCUGGUAGUCCACGCCGUAAACGAUGAGUGCUAAGUGUUAGGGGGUUUCCGCCCCUUAGUGCUGCAGCUAACGCAUUAAGCACUCCGCCUGGGGAGUACGACCGCAAGGUUGAAACUCAAAGGAAUUGACGGGGACCCGCACAAGCGGUGGAGCAUGUGGUUUAAUUCGAAGCAACGCGAAGAACCUUACCAAAUCUUGACAUCCUUUGACAACUCUAGAGAUAGAGCCUUCCCCUUCGGGGGACAAAGUGACAGGUGGUGCAUGGUUGUCGUCAGCUCGUGUCGUGAGAUGUUGGGUUAAGUCCCGCAACGAGCGCAACCCUUAAGCUUAGUUGCCAUCAUUAAGUUGGGCACUCUAAGUUGACUGCCGGUGACAAACCGGAGGAAGGUGGGGAUGACGUCAAAUCAUCAUGCCCCUUAUGAUUUGGGCUACACACGUGCUACAAUGGACAAUACAAAGGGCAGCGAAACCGCGAGGUCAAGCAAAUCCCAUAAAGUUGUUCUCAGUUCGGAUUGUAGUCUGCAACUCGACUACAUGAAGCUGGAAUCGCUAGUAAUCGUAGAUCAGCAUGCUACGGUGAAUACGUUCCCGGGUCU